UCAGACUAGUCCUGGCCAUGCUAUUCCACAGCUUUCUUGAACUUUCCUAAUAUCUAUACUCGAUUAGCCCUUUUCCACCCUCAAUUGUGGCUUAUAUAUAUAAUAUGGAGCAUUUCCAUGGGAGAGCUCAAGAAAGCUGUGGGAGACCAUGCCACUUUCAGGACUUUUUGA
rnacentral:pre_miRNA from 1 species